GGUUUUACGAGGCGCGCAGAAGGAAGUCGGCAGGCGAGACUGCAGAGGGAGUAGUGCGAUCCUGCGCGCGGGGGAACUAGCUGGAGGGCAAGGCGGGAACACGCCACUGUGAGCAUGCAUUUCAGGUUGUUGGCGCAGCUCUGCUCCAUGAUGUCGAUCUGAAACCCAGAUUUUCCUUCUCUUGCCACUGUCAUCUCCUGCAUGGCCAAAGCUAGGUCACCAUCAUAGUCAUGUUUCAGCCUAUGGGAAGGGGGAAAGACAAUAUUCAAGCAUCUAU
rnacentral:lncRNA from 1 species